AUAAUUAAUAUAUAACCUUAUAAUUAAGUACAUUUGACUACCCAAAGGGGUUGGACCAAUGGUGGAAAGCGAGGAGUUUUUCACCAUUGGGAAAGGUUCAAUUCCUAUGAGGGAUUUACUUGGAGCCAUGGGGGCACCUUGAGGUAGUGGUUGAACGUGUGUUCGCACCCAAAGAUACUAUAUUAAAUGGUAUCGUGACUCAUGCACACAUAAGUGGAUCAAAGCCCACCCCCAUGUCCUCCAAAUAAAAAAUUCCCCAAGGUCUAGAGAAGUCAGUGAGGGAGUGCAUUGUUAAGGCACUUUGUAAGUGAAAGUCACCAGUUCGAAACCCCUGGGGACACCUCAAAUCCAAUAAUGUUCAGGGUUGGUGCAGUCCAAGCUGGGUACGAUUCUUGGGUGACUUUGAUGACUUAGAUUCCCCUAGGUUGUGGCAUCUCAGCCAAGGAAAUCCCUCACCAAGUCAAAAAGAUUCAAGAUUACCAAAAACAAUUAGUACAGUUGAAUCAAAGUUGGUACAGACAAGGGGAAUCUGACUGUUUAAUUAAAAAAAAACAUUGCGAUGAUCCCUGUGGAUGUUGAUGCAAUGUGAUUUAUGGCCAGUGCUCUGCAUGUCAAAGUGAAGAAAUUCAACCAAGUGUGGAUAAACUGUAGGAGUAACUAUGGCUCUCUUAAGGUAGCUAGAUGCCUCAUCAUCUAAUUAGUGACACACAUGAAUGGAUUAACAUUAUUCCCAAGGUCCCUAUCUACUAUUUAGAGAAGCCACAACCAAGGGAACGUGCUUGGAAGAAUCAGAAGGGAAAGAAGACCAUGUUGAGAUUGACUCUAGUCCAACUUUGUGAAAUGACUUGAGAGGUGUAGAAUAAGUGGGAGUCGUUUUCGGCGCAAGUGAAAUACCACUACUUUUAACGUUAUUUUACUUAUUCC
rnacentral:ncRNA from 1 species